rnacentral:lncRNA from 1 species
AUGGAUCCAACAAAUGUUGCAGUGCAGCAUGGGAUACUCCCACAUAAACCCCACCCAGCCCCUCAGCCAGCCACACACCCAGAGAAGACCCUGCCAUGCUCACAUGCAAAUUCUUGUUCCCCCAAAUCACUUCAUAAAAUGUUGUCAUCCCCAUCCAUUGGCAGUUACGGUGGCAGAAGCCCAAAGGCGGCCCACAGAGGCACUUUCAGAUACACAUGCCUGACUGAGGCAGAAGAGUCAUGGCAACCCAAGGCAACACAGGCUGGCAAUAUUCAUUCCUAUGGAAUGCGAUGGUGGAAGAGUCAGACAUCUCUCCUCCUCGGACUGGGAAUGCUUUUCUGAGAGGCCAGAGAAGCCAGGACUUGCCUAAGAACAUCCUGAGAACCAGUUGACAGAAAAGUGGUCACAAAAUACAAGCCAAAGACUGCUGAAUCUACUCCCUUAGAAGGAAAUGAUCCCUGCUGGACCCACCAGAACUAUAGCUUUCCAUUCUGAGGUGAGACAGUCCCUGUAGCAUUUUGGGGGGGCACCUGCGGCUUAGGAAGGGAAGGUGCAGAGAGACCCAUGGCCUAUACUCUUGGCUUUAAGCAUAGAACAUGGCCUGAACUAGAUGGAUGGUGGCUGGUCCACCAAAAGGCAUUAGACUGGCCGUGGUUUUCACAAAGAGGGAGGAGGCAGUAUGACUGGGUGACUGAAGCUGGGGAAGGAUGUAGGACAAAACCCUAAAGGGGUUUGGAGGUUUGGGUGGCCUGGAGGCUGGAAGAGAUCUCAGAGGUCAUGUGGUCCAAUCUCCUCCUUUGAUAGAAAGGGCUAAGUUUAGUCAAAAGGGGAGGUGUGUGGCCAGGGUUACAGUACAGCCAGGAAGCUUUCCAUUCUGAGGUGAGACAGAACCUGUCAGAUGGGGGACACCUGUGGCUCAGGAGGAAGGUCCAGGGAGACUCAUGGGCUAUGGGAGGCUUUAGUCAGAACUGCCUGGAUGGGAGCUGGACUAUCAAAAAGUAUUAGAUUGGCUGUGUUUAUGUCAUAGAGGGAGAAGGCUGUUUGAGUGGGUGAAGUGAGCUGCAAAGGGAUGUAGGAGAGGAGUCUUAAGGGGAUAUUAGGUGUGAGGCAAGGAGCCUGGAAGAGAUCUCAGAGUUCAUCUUGUCCAAUCUCCUCAUUGACAGAAAGGGCUAAGUGAAGUGAAGAAGAGGGGAGGAGUUUGGUUUACUUUACAAAGCCAGGAAGAGAAGGGACAAAAGCAUGUCCUGAGUUUAGGAUCCUCUUGUUUGCCAAUCUAGCUGGCUUACAUCUUGGCUUACCUCUCCUAAGAGCCAAGCAUCAUGCACUCAGAUUGCCUAAGAAU